CGUAAAUGUUUGAGUUAUAACAUUAACAUAGGAAGAAAUGAGAAGUUUGUGUUUUGCAGUAAAACUUCACCUACGAUACAAGACAAUUGAUGAUUUCAUAUAAAUAUAUACGUUAUGAUUAAACAGGUUGAGAACUCUAGAUUUUCUGACGUCAGAAUAUAUUUGCAUAUUAAUUUCCCAAACACAAGGCCAAUAUGGCCUUGAAAAACUGACCAAUCGACUCAAUGAACUACAAUGCAUUGUGGGCUACUACGAGUGGAGUUAGUGGAAGAACUGUCAAUUAAUAUAGUGUCUGGGACUCUCAUAAUACAUGUUUUUGUUCUGGUAAUAUGUUUAAUGUAAAAUAUGUAAUAUAAUCUUCAAAUAGCAUGCU
rnacentral:lncRNA from 1 species